AUACCCUGGUAGUCCACGCCCUAAACGAUGUCAACUAGUUGUCGGAGCCGGUAGGUUUUGGUAACGCAGCCAACGCGCGAAGUUGACCGCCUGGGGAGUACGGUCGCAAGAUUAAAACUCAAAGGAAUUGACGGGGACCCGCACAAGCGGUGGAUGAUGUGGAUUAAUUCGAUGCAACGCGAAAAACCUUACCUACCCUUGACAUGGGCCAAAGCCACGAGAGAUGGUGGUGUGCUCGCAAGAGAAUGGCCGCACAGGUGCUGCAUGGCUGUCGUCAGCUCGUGUCGUGAGAUGUUGGGUUAAGUCCCGCAACGAGCGCAACCCUUAUUGGUAGUUGCUAACACGUAAUGGUGAGCACUUUACUAAGACUGCCGGUGACAAACCGGAGGAAGGUGGGGAUGACGUCAAGUCCUCAUGGCCCUUAUGGGUAGGGCUUCACACGUCAUACAAUGGUGCAUACAAAGGGAAGCGAACCUGUGAGGGGGAGCUGAUCUCAAAAAGUGCAUCGUAGUCCGGAUUGAAGUCUGCAACUCGACUUCAUGAAGUUGGAAUCACUAGUAAUCGCGGAUCAGCACGCCGCGGUGAAUACGUUCCCGGGCCUUGUACACACCGCCCGUCACACCAUGGGAGUUGGUUUUACCCGAAGGCGUUUCGCUAACCGCAAGGAGGCAGGCGACCACGGUAGGGUCAGCGACUGGGGUGAAGUCGUAACAAGGUAACCGUAA
rnacentral:rRNA from 1 species